CGCUGCACAUAAUGGUAAGCAGAAACUGGUUACCUGUUCGAGUUUUUGGUAAUGGACCCACACAGUCAACAAUCACCCUCUCAAACGGUUCUCCAAUCACAGGAAUCGGGUGAAGUGGCACACGAGGAACAGGGUUAUGAGCCAGUGACAAUACUUGCUGCCGUAAUGGUGAUGGAACAACUACCUGCCAAACUGUAUCCCAGUCCUCACCUGUUUUAUGUGCAGUCCAUUUACGCAUUAGAACACCAGCGUCCACAAGGUAAGCAGUCUCCUGUACUUUUGCGUUUUCAAAAGAGACCACAGAAUCAAAGCACUUAUUAAGGCUGACAUCCUCUUUUUGCCACUCAAUCAGCCUCUCUGAUGUGAUGGAUGACAACACAUCACCUAACUGGGGAGCGACCCCGCAUCCCCCUUUCUCAGCCUGCACAGAAGGUAAUCCCUCUGGUUUACUCUCUACAUCUACAGUUACACCCCGUUCAAAAACAGUAUCAGACAAAUUCACUGUAUCCCCCUGCAUGUGAGCCUGUGCCCUUGUUAAAACACAUGCAGGGAACACUUGAGGGUACUUCUGAACCAGGACAAUGUCACAGACAUUAGAUUGUGGCCUGUCUAUUACUUCUAGUACUGGAGCCACCUUACCCCCAGCAAUAUCGUUUCCUAGCAAUAGUGCUACCCCUUCCACUGCUAGCGUAGGCACCACCCCAACACGGAACCGACCUGAAACCAAAUCAGAAUGCAAGUAAACCCAGUGUAAAGGCACAGAAAUUGGGCUAGCUUCAAUACCACACAAAAGUAUAUGUGAACCACAGUAUGUCUGAUCAGACCAUGGCAACACAUCUGUAAGGAUAACUGACUGAGCUGCACCAGUGUCACGUAAGAUUUUAAUUGCCCUUUGGUCUUCAGUUUUUCCUGUGCAUGAAACACACCCUACAGACACAAACGGAGCAUACACCAGGUCUGGUUUCUUUGUAAGUACCUCGCUAGCACAUCUAGCUUCCUGGUAAGAAACAAACUGAGUUAAACCAACACUCUUACGGACAGAUGGAGGUGACUUAGGCUUGUUCUUCAGUAAGAAACAAUCUGAGAUUAAAUGGCCUUUCCGGUGGCAAUAAAAACAUUCCCUCUCCUCUUUUCUAGGAACAGUAGGAGGGUCUGAAAAUCGUGAUGCACCGACCACUGGUGAAGCGGAUGUCCUGCUCUGACUGGAUGCUGUAAACACCAUUUUAUGUGUUAAGGCAUAUUCAUCUGCCAGGACCGCUGCCUGACCCAACGUCGCCACCUUCUUUUCACUAAGAUGCAUCACAAUUCUUUCAGACGGGCCGUUUUCAGCUUCAACCGAGCGACCUCUACAGACUCGGGGGACACAGGAGACAACGGGUCAUACUUUGGCAGAGUUCGAGGCACCGGAGUUUCCCCACCUCCCACACCGCCCCUCAACCGUGCAGGCGAGGGAUUUUCUACGGCACCCUCGUCCUCCCUCUCAUCCUCUGUUUCCACAUCCUCCACAGCCAUAACUCCUACCCUUGACAGACUCAAUAAAUGGUUUUUGAUCACCAUUACUAAAUUUGCUUUACGAGCCUGCCUAUCAACUGUAAUUUUGUAGUAGUCCACUAGCGCUAACAAAUCAACCUUACGCAGAUUAACCAAUGAACCCAAUGAGGGCUCCGCAAUAAAGCCUGCCACAUCUGAAGUAGCCGCCAUGCUCACACCUCAUCCAGUACAAUCCUGCACUACUCAGUACUCAAACACCACAAACUACAAAUACUAACAAACUACACGACAGAACAACAACUACUAUACUUUACUCACACCCCAACACCACACCCCAAUCACCGAGCACAGGGCAAUCCGAGCAGCGGGGCGCCCAGAUCCCGGACGAGCCCCCAUUUGUUACGUUCUAACUCCCAAAAGGGAGGGGAGCCUGACAACCCCCUGCUCGGGCCCACCGAUGCCAGCGAAGGAGGUAUGGAGUCGCAGUGCGAGAAAAGGACACAAACACCAAAUACCGUAUAAAAACAAAGCUUUUAUUUGGCCACG
ensembl:lncRNA